GGAAAAGGAAUAGAACAGGCAACGGGGAGGACUUCUCUGAAACUUGCUGCAUAGUUUUCCUAGGAAACUGCUGGGGACUAGACUGGCUUGUAAACAGCAGCACCUCUAAACAAGGCACCACUGCCAGGAUUUUGUCCUCUGGGGACAGACAAUGCUGCUGUGUUUGCCAAGGAAGACAGCUCCAAGUGUCUCUGUUUUCAGGCAUCCCUCAGUUUUCAAGUAAGUAUCAUUUUCAAAUCUGUGUUGCAUUCCAAAGAACUUUUUCUUUUUUUGGGGAAUGCUUUUGUACUUAACACCUCUGUGAACUCUGUGACCGUAUACCCUCAUCUGGAAGGUCUAUUUAGAGGAGGCUGAGCAGGCUGCCAAAUUCAGCCUCUGAACCCUCUCAUUUCUGUAUUAUAAAUGCUUUUCCGCAUCCCAUCCCUCGACCUCUGGAAUUAAAUGUUCAGAGGCAUUUGGAUUAGAUUUGAAUUGCUUGGUCAAAUCUUAGUCACUUCUUAGACAGAAUCUUCAACCUGG
rnacentral:lncRNA from 1 species